rnacentral:rRNA from 1 species
GACGAACGCUGGCGGCGUGCUUAACACAUGCAAGUCGAACGGAAAGGCUCCAGCUUGCUGGAGUACUCGAGUGGCGAACGGGUGAGUAACACGUGGGUAAUCUGCCCUGCACUCUGGGAUAAGCCUGGGAAACUGGGUCUAAUACUGGAUAUGACCUUUCUCCUUAUGGGGUUUGGUGGAAAGUUUUCGGUGUAGGAUGAGCCCGCGGCCUAUCAGCUUGUUGGUGGGGUGAUGGCCUACCAAGGCGACGACGGGUAGCCGGCCUGAGAGGGUGAUCGGCCACAUUGGGACUGAGAUACGGCCCAGACUCCUACGGGAGGCAGCAGUGGGGAAUAUUGCACAAUGGGCGGAAGCCUGAUGCAGCGACGCCGCGUGAGGGAUGACGGCCUUCGGGUUGUAAACCUCUUUCAGCAGGGACGAAGCGUAAGUGACGGUACCUGCAGAAGAAGCACCGGCUAACUAUGUG